rnacentral:lncRNA from 1 species
UUCAAUUAGGUUGGUUUAAAUAAUGAAACCACCUUGAACCAAUCUCCAUGCGCCACCUCACUUCCAUUGCACCCAUUUGAAUUCAUGAGAACUUCUCAUGAAUUUUUUCUCAUGCCAAGCCUUUCUCCAUGCCCCACUUUAAUGUGCCAAGUGAAUGGAUAAGGUUGGCCAUUCAAAUUCAAAAUAAUGUUUGAAUUUGAAUGGGCAAUUAAUCUUUGUGCCUUAUCCCUUGUUUUAUGCCCCAAUUAAUUACAUGAGAAAAUGUUUCUCAUGAAAUC